UCCUCCGCUUGCUGCAGGGAAACAAGAGGAAGGCGGCGUCAACAAUGCCCACAGUCCUCAGCAAGCUGAAGGAACUGCAUGUGGAAGCUCAAACCAGUUCAGUUUUUUGUCGGUAAGAGAGUCUGAAGGUGCAAAGAACUGAGCGGUAAAGGAGGCAAACUUCAGCACGAAGUUGCGCAAAGUCUAUCGCCAGGCCCUCUUGUCAGAGCGACGAGUGGGAAGGAGCAGCACGUGGAGACGGGAGCAGUCAGCUAACCCAGCUGGACCAGCUUCUCUUCAGCGGCACAGAGUUGGACACCUGCAACAUCCUGGUAGGAGCGCAGCUCAGCGUCCUGCUGGACGACCGUGAGGAGGAUUAAGUUUCAUAACCUUUCCACCUCUCUGGAAACACAGGGAGGACACGGCCCCCCCUGGAGUCCCUUCAGGACUGUUGAGUGAUCCAGGAACCAGCAGUGCCCAGGAUUCAACCAUGAGCACUGGUUGAGAAAAGCUGUCGGAGCGAUGGCCAGACACGCUGACAGCAGCUGAAACAAGCAGGAGGGAAGCAAACGUCAGUUAACAGACGAACCACAGAUGAGACAGCGGACAGUAUCCUUAAAGGUGCAGUACCGCCACCAAUUGGUCCUAUAGUAAAACUCAUCUUAUCAUACAACUUUUAUCCGCUGACUUGAAUGAAAUAUGAACGAAACAAAGCCAUACCAAAUAUCCAUAUAUUAAAUACAAAACAGUCCUACACAACUGAGGCUAAGUUACUGUUCUGCGACUCCAUGUGACAACAACACAUGCUUAGCGCAAACAUAUACAUUUCUAUACCACAACAUAGUGCAGUGUCUUAUACAAAUGUACCACUAAAUACAUGCCCCAGAUGGAUAGCAGAACUUUAUCUAUUACAAG